GAUGAACGCUGGCGGCGUGCUUAACACAUGCAAGUCGAACGGAAAGGCCCUGCUUGCAGGGUACUCGAGUGGCGAACGGGUGAGUAACACGUGGGUGAUCUGCCCUGUACUUUGGGAUAAGCCUGGGAAACUGGGUCUAAUACCGAAUAUGACAAUUGUUUGGAUGCGAUUGUGGAAAGCUUUUGCGGUAUGGGAUGAGCUCGCGGCCUAUCAGCUUGUUAGUGGGGUAAUGGCCUACCAAGGCGUCGACGGGUAGCCGGCCUGAGAGGGUGUACGGCCACAUUGGGACUGAGAUACGGCCCAGACUCCUACGGGAGGCAGCAGUGGGGAAUAUUGCACAAUGGGCGCAAGCCUGAUGCAGCGACGCCGCGUGGGGGAUGACGGCCUUCGGGUUGUAAACUCCUUUCGCAACCGACGAAGCCUUUUGGUGACGGUAGGUUGAGAAGAAGCACCGGCUAACUACGUG
rnacentral:rRNA from 1 species